rnacentral:rRNA from 1 species
CCUACGGGAGGCAGCAGUGAGGAAUCUUCCACAAUGGACGAAAGUCUGAUGGAGCAACGCCGCGUGCAGGAUGACGGCUUUCGGGUUGUAAACUGCUUUUAUAUGGGAAGAUUAUGACGGUACCAUAUGAAUAAGGACCGGCUAACUACGUGCCAGCAGCCGCGGUAAUACGUAGGGUCCAAGCGUUAUCCGGAGUUACUGGGCGUAAAGCGUACGUAGGCGGCGCGUUAAGUGCAACGCGAAAUCUUGCGGCUCAACCGUAUAGACUGCGAGGCAUACUGGCGUGCUUGAGGAUGGCAGAGGCCAGUGGAAUUUGUAGUGUAGCAGUGAAAUGCGUAGAUAUUACAAGGAACACCAAUGGCGAAGGCAGCUUGCUGGGCCAUUUCUGACGCUGAGGUACGAAAGCGUGGGGAGCGAACAGGAUUAGAUACCCUGGUAGUCCACGCCGUAAACGAUGCACACUAUUAGUAUGGGGUAUCGACCCCCUGUGCUGAGAAGCUAACGCGAUAAGUGUGCCGCCUGGGGAGUACGAGCGCAAGCUUAAAACUCAAAGGAAUUGACGG